rnacentral:rRNA from 1 species
GAUGAACGCUAGCUCCAGGCUUAACACAUGCAAGUCUAGGGACCGGCGCACGGGUGAGUAAACCGUAUCCACCCUCCCCUUUACUCAGUGAUAGCCUUUCGCAAGACAUAUUAAUACCCGAUAUCAAUGAUGUGGGUGCGUUCCAUUAGGUUGUUGGUGGGGUAACGGCUCCACAAGCAGUCGCUGGUUAGGGGUUCUGAGAGGAAGGGCCCCCACAGGUGAACGGAGACACGGGACAAACUCCUACGGGAGGCAGCAGUGAGGAAUAUUGGUCAAUGGGCGCGAGCCUGAACCAGCCAAGUAGCGUGAAGGAUGAAGGGUUAUGGGGCGUAAACUUCUUUUAUAGAAGAAUAGGGAUUAUAUGAAUAAGGAGCGGCUAACUCCGUGCCAGCCGACGCGGUAAUAC